AACGAACGCUGGCGGCGUGCUUUACACAUGCAAGUCGAGCGGCAGCGGGGGUGCUUGCACCUGCCGGCGAGCGGCGAACGGGUGAGUAAUGCAUCGGAACGUACCCAUUUGUGGGGGAUAGCCCGGCGAAAGCCGGAUUAAUACCGCAUACGCCCUGAGGGGGAAAGCGGGGGAUUCUUCGGAACCUCGCGCAAUUGGAGCGGCCGAUGUCGGAUUAGCUAGUAGGUGGGGUAAAGGCUCACCUAGGCGACGAUCCGUAGCUGGUCUGAGAGGAGGAUCGGCCAGACUGGGACUGGGACACGGCCCAGACUCCUACGGGAGGCAGCAGUGGGGAAUUUUGGACAAUGGGAGAAAGCCUGAUCCAGCCAUGCCGCGUGAGUGAAGAAGGCCUUCGGGUUGUAAAGCUCUUUCAGUUGGGAAGAAAAGGCGCUCUCUAAUAUAGGGCGCUGCUGACGGUACCGACAGAAGAAGCACCGGCUAACUACGUGCCAGCCGCCACAGUAACAC
rnacentral:rRNA from 1 species